GACGAACGCUGGCGGCGUGCCUAAUACAUGCAAGUUGAGCGCUGAAGGUUGGUACUUGUACCAACUGGAUGAGCAGCGAACGGGUGAGUAACGCGUGGGGAAUCUGCCUUUGAGCGGGGGACAACAUUUGGAUACGAAUGCUAAUACCGCAUAAAAACUUUAAACACAAGUUUUAAGUUUGAAAGAUGCAAUUGCAUCACUCAAAGAUGAUCCCGCGUUGUAUUAGCUAGUUGGUGAGGUAAAGGCUCACCAAGGCGAUGAUACAUAGCCGACCUGAGAGGGUGAUCGGCCACAUUGGGACUGAGACACGGCCCAAACUCCUACGGGAGGCAGCAGUAGGGAAUCUUCGGCAAAGGACGAAAGUCUGACCGAGCAACGCCGCGUGAGUGAAGAAGGUUUUCGGAUCGUAAAACUCUGUUGGUAGAGAAGAACGUUGGUGAGAGUGGAAAGCUCAUCAAGUGACGGUAACUACCCAGAAAGGGACGGCUAACUACGU
rnacentral:rRNA from 1 species